CUUUCAAUGAUGAUUUUAUUAAAAUGACUUUCGUUCUUCUGAGUUUGCUGAAGCCACGAGUAGUUUCUGAGAAGG